UAUUUAUUUAAUUGUGUAUUUAUUUAUUGAAUUUUUGCACUCCUGGUCCUCCAUAAAUCAUGGGUAUCAAUGCGUAAAACUAGUGGUCCAAUGCUUUUUUGCGUCGGCGCCGUUCGGUAAGUCAACAUUGUUUGUUUUAAAAACCAAACCGUCCUUAAAUCCGUCAAGAAUUCAGCGGGGUGAAGACUAUUUCAGUGGAGAAACCCCCAACCGAUGCAACCAUGGCAACACAGCUGUCACCGACGUGCGGAACCUUACCUACGCUGCAACGGCGCUACCGGACAAUAUGGCUGCGAUUAGCUUGACCAAAUUUUCAUCCACCACUGUGUGGUGACAGGAUGUGUGACAACAGAAAAGGUAAGCCUUAAUAUCAGUAGUAUCCUGUGACAACAGAAAAGGUAAGCCUUAAUAUCAGUAGGGAGUUUAGCUAUGUAUAUAUACAGAAAAAGAUACAAAAAUAAUAAUAUCAGUGGGGGGAUUCGCGGUUCUAAGCUAGCAAGCUAAUUAGCAGGAUAUGUUAGCAAAAAGUACAAGCAUUGUUUAACCUCUUAAAGCAUCGGUGUCCCCCUAACUGUUCAAUAAGCUUCACGCGGAAAGAAAAUGUAUCGUCACAUUUAUAAAAAUAAUAACAUCAGUGGGAAGAUUAGCGUUUCGAUACUAGCACGCUAAAUAGCAGGAAAACAUAGCAAAAAGUAUAAACAUUGUCCAACUUCUUAAAGCAUCGGUGCCCCCUCACUGUUAAACAAGCUACACGAGGAAACAAAAUGUAUCGUCACAUUAGUCAAAUCCAGCUAAAUUCACAUUACUUUUUGAAUCAUUUUAAUCACUGGGAAAUGGACUAGCAUCUUUGUUCACGUUUUAAUGUUAAAUAACGCCCCAAAUUACGUUAAGUCAAACAUGUCAGUUUGAUAUGUUGGGCUGUCAAUUUUACUAAUUGUAUUAAUGUUCUGCAUUUAGCAUUGGUGUGUUAUGCGAGAGCAACACAGAGAACAAGAUGAAGAGAAAGCAGACCUUCUUCAGAAAAUGAGUAGUAUGGAAGAAGAAGCCAGCUGAGCUGCAGGCAGGCAGGCAGACAGAAAGGGUGAGCAGAUAGAUGAGACAGAUUCAGAGAAUGAAGGAGUGGAGUGGUCCCAAGUCAGCCUCCAGUUGUUUCACAGAGAGUCCAGCAGACAGCCUUGGAGAGUGUGAGUGAACAGCUCCCCCAUACCAGGACCAUCCAGAUGUCACUGAAAGCAGCAGGCAGACUCUGAGAAUGACGGAGAGGAGCUCCCACUACCCUGUGGACAAAUAGGACCUCCAGAGAUAUCCAAAUUGAGAGCUGAUGGACCUGUCCAGCAACAUCUGAAGCUCCUUCCUAGAACACUCCAGGGCCACAGGAGGAGAAACUUUCAAGCCUCAUGGUGCCAUAAAUAUUUCUUUUUUUCCAAUGAGAUUGUGCCACCCCAAAAUGAUCACAUAACCAUCCUGGCCACCCCACCAAAAAUUUCCUGGCUCCGCCACUGUCGACCCAUCUCGUUGAAUGUGUGAAGCGAUAUUCAUUCUAUAGAUACUUGCAAAAAUGUCUUUUAAAAAAAAUACCUAAAAAAAUAGAUAUACACCUAGCGCGGGGAUCGGCAACCUGUGUUUUGAGAGCCGAAUGUGGCUCUUUAGCGCUGCCCUGGUGGCUCCCUGCAGCAUUUUCAAAAAUGUUUGAAAAUGGACAAAGAUGGUUGAUAUGGUUUCUGUAGGAAGACAAAAAUGACACAAAACAUUCUUAACGUUUUCCAAUGCUGAAAAUGCAGAAAAAUAUUAAAUUUCAACAUUUCAAGAUUUGCGUCAUAGCCUGCGACACACGUUUCUAUCAGCAGGGCGCGAUGCCAGGCAGAUGGCUAUUGUAAACAAGCCACAACGCCUGUUGGCAGCCGAGUACCUAAUUGUGAGUGAGAGAAAAACUGCAAUUCCAUUACUUCUGAGGAACUUAGGCUAGGUUCAUACCGCUGGUCUUAAUGCACGAAUCUGAUUUUUUCCUCUGUUUUUCCGACUCGAGUGAGACACUAACUUGACGGUCUGAACGGGAAAAGUCGCAUAGAAGUGGACCAUUUCAAAUCCGGUCUCGGUAUGUGGUUUAAAUCCGUUUUGGGCCACAUUUCUCCAGAAUUUGGCAGGCGGUCUGAACUCUCACGUCUCCCGAAUUAGAAUACAUGCAACAAUUACUGUAUGUCAGCAAAGCGCGAGAGGGACUGGGCUCUACGGUAGCGGUGCAGCUGUGCGUAAGCGCCUAGCUUGCCUUGAACACUGCUUUUGGGGAAGGGUCGGGCUUGACAACAGUCAUAAAAACAUAAAAUGCGUUGAGGAUAAGCCUGAGAGUGCUCGGUUUUCUUUCUGCUCCAUAUGAGCAAUAUUUCAAGAUUGCUUACACGGCCGAGAGUCGGGGCAAACUGUCCGUAUGCGAGUGCGUCAUGCGCGGACAGUGCGUGCAUUCUAUCGAUCCAUUUUAACUAUGAAUAUACGACUAAACGGGGCUUAUUUAUGUCUGUUACUUGUGUCCUCUUUUUGGAAAUCAAAAUAUGAUCACCUUUGAAUGACGUUGAGCCAGCAUGUGUGGUCAUUUGUUUUGAUGCUUCUGCGCAGACUUCAAAAACAAAACCGAGAUAAUAAAGGAAAUCAAAGACAUGCCCAGAUCAGGGGCAUGUUAUGCACGUUCCAUUUUGUUUUUCGUAACUUCAAAAUAAAAACGACAUCAAAAAUCGGAUUUCUUUAUUGCAUUUCUUUAAUUUCAUAAAAGCAAUGAAACCAUUCAUUAAUAUUGUAAUGAAGUUAAACUUGAGGUGGUAUCUUACAACAGAGUAGUCAUGUGGUGUGCUGGAUGCACUGUAGGGAAAAUAAACAUUAAAUCAUGAAGGCUCAUUAUUUAUAUUUUUUUGCAUUCCUAGUCAUUUUGAUAGUAGGCGAAUAUAGCUAAUACAGAUAGGCUUAUUUAAGGCUUUUAAUUGUUUGCGGCUCAAACAUUUUUUAAAUAAAAAAAAAAAAAAAAAUUUGGGGGGGUCCAAUAUGGUUCUUUCAACAUUUUGGGUUGCCGACCCCUGAUUUAGUGUAAAACGGGAUUGACUUGCAUAAACCCUCCUGUCCUACACAACAUUGGCCAAUAGAGGUCGUUUAAGGGUUUUAUUAAACCGUUUUUUGCUUGAAGUUGUACACAACCUCUCAUAGCUGUUCCCUUUGGCAGAGUACAUAUUGAUAGAAAAUAGUGUCUGUAUAUAGAUUAUUUGAACAUUUCUGUCAUUUUUGGUGGAAGUUGACACAAACAAAUACGGAGAAAUCCAUCAUCUCCAAAUUAUUAGCUAUGACUGUAUUCAUGCAAACACACUAAAAGCAGCUGUGUGAGAAAGUUUUCGAACCUUUCACUGCCAUCAAAUCACGAGCUUUAUUCAUCCUUCUGCUGCCCCCCCAAUAUGCUAACAGUGUUGCGUGCAGCCUGAGGGACACAAACCAAUUAAUUCUUCAAAUAUUUUAUUAAAACAAAUGUUUCCAUAGUUACAAGAGACAACGAUAAAACAUAACACUCUUAAAAAUGAUUUUUUUUUUCUUUUUAAACUCUGAUUCAAUUCGUUGAAAGAAAAAUGGCUUUUUAAGAGGUACUCCAGAUAUGUUGGCCAUUUAAAAUAACUGCUUUGCUUUGUUUUAGGAAGACAUUUCAGGAGGCAAGUACGUUUACUCAGGAACACCAGUUUUUAAGCAUUGUUGUAUUUGGAUUAUUUAAAAUAAAGAAUAUUCCUGCAAUGACCCGUACAUUCGGAAUAAGUUUUCACAUAGGUAAGCAAAGACUUUUAGCAAUAUAGCAUUAGCCUGGCAUACCAGCCAGACUCGAACGCAAACUUUCCAAUAGACGUUUCGCAUUUGUUCUGACAAUACACCGCAUAAUCAAAUUAAUUGUACUUUUCGUAAUGUAGUUUCCAAUUGCCAAUCUCGCUAUCCAAUGUGCCUGAAAAAAAAGGAGCACUUGUCGCUCUUCCUGAAGUCCAGAGCAUUUGAAAUGGGAUGGCUCCCUCCCAAUUCAAACAGACUGACGUUCAGCACCGUCAAUGGCAGCCAAAUAAUAAAGCAGUGUCUAACCAAGCUAAAAUAGCAGUGACUUUACAUUUGAGUGUGCGUUAAUUUAGUAUUGGGGGGGGGGGGUGUAUGUCUAAAAAAUAAAGUGGUAUCAGUACAGAAUACACAGGCGUUAGAAUCAGUAAAUCAAGAAAAAUGCUAUAUUUGCAAGACUUAUUACAGACAGCGCAAGUGGCAUUAUGUUUUCAUCAUAUUCGUGCCCACAAGUCGUUCUUUCAGAUUCAUUUUGAAAUCCAACCCAAAACGCAAACGAGACUGACUUGGCAUGUAGCUGGUAUACAUAGCCCAAGUCAGGCUGGCUUGCCUGGCAAAUAUGGCAAAUAUGUGACAUUAGAGCAAAUUUAAAGCGCAUCAGUAUAAAUGUGGCAUGAAACACUGGUUGGGAAUCACUGAUCCAAACUAUGACAAACCCAAAUUUCAAAAUAAUUUUAAGGCAAAUAGCGAGAUCAUUGCAACCGCAUAUAUUCAAUAAAUAUUGGUACAUGUUAUGAGUACUACUUUUAUCAUUUUUAGCCAGGCCCGUUUUCUUUGUAAUGUGUAUUACUGUAUAUAGUUGGACGUCAGCAUGUAGAAGGGGAGAAAAAAAAAAAAAAGCUCUUGAUGUGACUCGUCCGAGCUGGCGACUCAGACCACCGGGCUGGAAGGGUUGGAGGAAAGCACGCUCCACGGAUCGUGAGCCGGGGGCUGGCGGAGUAACUCUCGAGACGAAUUGGCACCCUCGUCCCAGGACUCGGCAUCGUCCUCGGGCAAGGGUCGGGAGUCGGAGCCCUCCCGUUGCUGCUGCUGCGGCCGAUUGCGCUUCUCCCGGUGAAGCAGGAGGCGCUCCAAAGGAACCGAGCUGCUCUUGGGCAGAAAGAGGGCGGUGGGCGGCACGUUGUGCCCGGCCGCAAAGACCUGGCGGGAGCCCUCCAGGUUGAGUAGGAUGCCAGUGCGGACCGAGUAGAAGACGUCGCGGUUGUUCUCCAGGAGUCGGUGCUCGAACACGCAGUCGUCACGCAAACAAACUGCCUGCAUGCAACACAUUUUUUGGGUUUGUUUUUAAUUUCCAUUUCUUGAUUGUGUCUUGCUCAUUUUCAUGUGAUGCAUUACUUUGUACUGAAGAAAUAAAUUGGCAAUGACUAAAAAAGAUAAAAAGUUUUGCCAUGUAUACUCACUGAAGUGAAUGGGGUUCCGUUGAGGUCCAAACAUAAGUAACGGCUGCUUUUGACGCCAAGGAUGGCGACGCGCUCCCUGGUGUCCGCCUUGAGCAUGACGACGCCUGCGAAAGCGCGACAACAUCAGCAUCAUCAGCGUCAACGGACAAAUACGGAAAAUGCGGACGAGCGCCACAGCGUACUGUAGGGAUUCCUGCUGGUGCUUCUCCGCACGCUUCCGUCCAGCUUGAUCUCCAGGUAAAAGUUGCUGAGCUCGGUGGAAGUUUGCAGAUGGACGUACCUCCGUGGGCUGCCCCAGUUGGAGCUCGCCAGGGGCGACGGAUUGGGCGCCGCGUAGCCGAUGGGGACGCCCUGCAAGACUGCGAGGAGGAACGCCAGCGUCCGCGUCCGUGUCGCCGCGGUUCUCGGGCGGGGCGGGUGCGUGGCGGUGGCCUCCUCCAUCCCGGACAACAGAGCUGUCGUCUACGAGGAGGAUUACGGACUGGGACUCUAUUUAAGGACCCCCGCUGCAGGCACGCAGACAGGCGGCCACCCCUGCUCGCUCGCAUCCGUCCACCAACGCAGAUGUGCGGCUUUGCAGCGGCGGAAGGGCCACUUCCACCUGGGCGUGUUUAGACCCACUUGUUGUUGAUGCUCGUUAUUUUGGGAUACAUCCGUCCGUGAGGAAAUGGCUAAAUUGGCAAAACAUUUCAACUAACAAGUUGCUGUUUUCCAAAAAGGAUAUAUGCGACGCACCUGCCCUAUAUUCUGGAGCCUUUUAGCCAGCAGAGGGCGCCAGUCCUAAACUCAAAAACUUGCAGAAAAGUCAAAUUGAAGACAUUUCGAAUUCAAAUAAACGACCAAAGUUUCUCUUAAAAUUUCAUAGCUCUUUCCAACAACUUGUAAAUGUUUGAAAGGAGAACGUAACGUGAGUACUCAGGUACUUGAAAAUUGUUUUAUUGAGAUAUUUGAGGAGUGGACGACGUACAAAAAUAAAAAGACUUCAACUUGCUUUGGAGACAGUCUUUCUAUUCAUUUUUUUUAACGACUGUCAAACUAAGGCAGCAGGUGAAGGCGUUCAUUCAAACAGUAGCGUGGAUAUUUGGCUGAGGAAACCUUUUUUAUUAUUAAUUACACUAAUCAAUAUGGAUGGCAGAACUAUAUUUGGUGGAGGUUGUUUUGCGAGAACAUUCAACUCUUUAAGUGUCGUUGACUAUGUGUCUUUGUGAAUUGAAAUGAGUGUCACGAGUAGAUGUUCGAUGAUCCAUUUGAAAUGGGAUGGGGCCCCUCCAAGUUCAAAUGGACUGGCGGUCCAUCGCUGUCAAUUGUAAGAGUGAAGGACAAUUUGUAAAUGGCUUGUCAUAGUUAUUGCAAAUGCAACUUCAGAUUUGACUAUUCAAGAGCAAAAACUAUCUCAUGACCUUGCCAUUUUUGCUGCAUCGUCCUCUACUGCAUGCGACCUGCUUUUUGUGAACUGCAUUGAAAACUGAGAAAGGCUGCUACUGCAGUACACGCUCACGCACACUGGGAAAAAGGCCAAAGGCUCACGUCAACAACAUCUUAUAGAAAAGCUCCUGAUUUUUUUUUGUACUUUGCACUAUUUGUUUGCAUUUUUCAUAACAUGCAGCAGCUUUCUUGUGCGCUUAACAUUAGCAGCUAAACUUGCAUACAGUGGAACCCUUAGUGUCCAAUACAGAAGCAUCGAAGAUUUGACUUCGGAGGCGCCACACUACAACUGUAUGAGGUCUCCGUUUUAUUGCGCAGAAAACAACGAUGAACUGUGUUAAUUUAAGAAAAGUGAAUCUCAAAAAUGAAAAAUUAUUGAGGAUUUUCCAGUUUCUAUUUUCAAUUUGAUUUUCUAUACAUUUGAUUUU